UACGUAGGGUGCAAGCGUUGUCCGGAAUCACUGGGCGUAAAGCGCACGUAGGCGGAUCUUUAAGUCAGGGGUGAAAUCCUGGAGCUCAACUCCAGAACUGCCUUUGAUACUGGGGAUCUCGAGUCCGGAAGAGGUGAGUGGAACUCCGAGUGUAGAGGUGAAAUUCGUAGAUAUUCGGAAGAACACCAGUGGCGAAGGCGGCUCACUGGUCCGGUACUGACGCUGAGGUGCGAAAGCGUGGGGAGCAAACAGG
rnacentral:rRNA from 1 species